CUGUACAACCUCUCCCUUCAUCCAAUAUAUGCAUCAUCAGAUUUCCCACUCUUUUCAUAUCUAUCUAUCAAUCUAUAUUAUCUAAUAUCAAACUCUCACUAAACAAACAUAAAAAACUAACUAAGGUCCGGAGAGUUAUGUGAUUAUGGGUAAUCGGAGUGGUGGUCGCAAAUACGGUCGUGAAAUGGAACAACAACGCCCACAGAAGAGAGAGAGAGAGAGAAUGCGUCUGCCUAAUUACUACCGCAACCUGAGAUUUGAAGAGGUGGCAAGAAAUGCAAAAAGGGAUUAAGGGAGAAUGAAGAAGUACCUGGAGGUGGCUAGAGACGAUGAAGCCACCUUUCUUUCCACCAGACAUAUCGAACCUCAGCUUCUCUUCGGAAGGCAACGCAA